rnacentral:rRNA from 1 species
AGAACCUGAAACCGUGUACGUACAAGCAGUGGGAGCACAGGUUUACCUGUGUGACUGCGUACCUUUUGUAUAAUGGGUCAGCGACUUAUAUUCUGUAGCAAGGUUAACCGAAUAGGGGAGCCGGAGGGAAACCGAGUCUUAAUUGGGCGUUAAGUUGCAGGGUAUAGACCCGAAACCCGGUGAUCUAGCCAUGGGCAGGUUGAAGGUUGGGUAACACUAACUGGAGGACCGAACCGACUAAUGUUGAAAAAUUAGCGGAUGACCUGUGGCUGGGGGUGAAAGGCCAAUCAAACCGGGAGAUAGCUGGUUCUCCCCGAAAGCUAUUUAGGUAGCGCCUCGUGAAUUCAUCUCCGGGGGUAGAGCACUGUUUCGGCUAGGGGGCCAUCCCGGCUUACCAACCCGAUGCAAACUGCGAAUACCGGAGAAUGUUAUCACGGGAGACACACGGCGGGUGCUAACGUCCGUCGUGAAGAGGGAAACAACCCAGACCGCCAGCUAAGGUCCCAAAGUCAUGGUUAAGUGGGAAACGAUGUGGGAAGGCCCAGACAGCCAGGAUGUUGGCUUAGAAGCAGCCAUCAUUUAAAGAAAGCGUAAUAGCUCACUGGUCGAGUCGGCCUGCGCGGAAGAUGUAACGGGGCUAAACCAUGCACCGAAGCUGCGGCAGCGAACGUAUCACCCAAGACAACUUUGCGGAGUUGACGAUUGACGGAGCGAAGCGACGUCAAAGCGUUCAUUAAAGUCGAGUUGGCUUAGGGAUACGUUCGUU